UCAGAAUUCAUCGAUAUGUAACCCUGAUCGAAAAGUCCCAAUCAGUGGGACUCUUGACCCCGGUACCCAUAAUGUGUGGAACUCGUGAUCAGAGAAUCUUGAUUCUCAAUCACUGAGUCUCAAACAUGUAGGAUUCUACACCAGCCAUCAGAUCAGAUAGAAACUUCUAAUGUGUGUGACCCCACAGGUUCGAACCUAAGCCAGUAGCACAGGAACCAAUUUCUGUACUAAUCAAAGUGACCAUCUAGCAAUGGUACCUGACAUCC
rnacentral:lncRNA from 1 species